rnacentral:rRNA from 1 species
UGGGGAAUUGUUCGCAAUGGGCGCAAGCCUGACGACGCAACGCCGCGUGGAGGAUGAAGGUCUUCGGAUUGUAAACUCCUGUUGACCGGGAAGAAUGGGCCUUGAGCGAAUAGCUCGAGGCAAUGACGGUACCGGUUGAGGAAGCCACGGCUAACUCUGUGCCAGCAGCCGCGGUAAUACAGAGGUGGCAAGCGUUGUUCGGAAUUACUGGGCGUAAAGGGCGCGUAGGCGGCCUUCUAAGUCAGACGUGAAAUCCCCAGGCUUAACUUGGGAACUGCGUCUGAUACUGGAGGGCUUGAGUGCGGGAGAGGGAUGUGGAAUUCCAGGUGUAGCGGUGAAAUGCGUAGAUAUCUGGAGGAACACCGGUGGCGAAGGCGGCAUCCUGGACCGACACUGACGCUGAGGCGCGAAAGCUAGGGGAGCAAACGGG